UACGAAGGGGGCUAGCGUUGCUCGGAAUCACUGGGCGUAAAGCGCACGUAGGCGGACUCUUAAGUCGGUGGUGAAAUCCUGGAGCUCAACUCCAGAACUGCCUCCGAUACUGAGAGUCUCGAGUCCGGGAGAGGUGAGUGGAACUGCGAGUGUAGAGGUGAAAUUCGUAGAUAUUCGCAAGGACACCAGUGGCGAAGGCGGCUCACUGGCCCGGUGCUGACGCUGAGGUGCGAAAGCGUGGGGAGCAAACAGG
rnacentral:rRNA from 1 species